GUAGUGGGGGAUAACCUGGGGAAACCCAGGCUAAUACCGCAUACGUCCUACGGGAGAAAGCAGGGGAUCUUCGGACCUUGCGCUAUCGGAUGAGCCUAUGUCGGAUUACCUAGUUGGUGAGGUAAUGGCUCACCAAGGCUGCCAUCCGUAGCUGGUCUGAGAGGAUGAUCAGCCACAUCGGGACUGAGACACGGCCCGAACUCCUACGGGAGGCAGCAAUGGGGAAUAUUGGACAAUGGGCGAAAGCCUGAUCCAGCCAUGCCGCGUGUGUGAAGAAGGCCUUCCGGUUGUAAAGCACUUUCAGUGAGGAAGAAGGCCUUGAGGUUAAUACCCUCGAGGAAGGACAUCACUCACAGAAGAAGCACCGGCUAACUCCGUGCCUGCAGCCGCGGCAAUACGGAGGGUGCGAGCGUUAAUCGGAAUUACUGG
rnacentral:rRNA from 1 species